rnacentral:piRNA from 1 species
UCAACACAUCGUUUCUGCCCUGCCUUCUGUG